rnacentral:RNase_P_RNA from 3 species
ACAGUAGGUUGUUCCAUCGCGUUUCGCAUUAGCGGAAGGAGGAAAGUCCGGGCAACAUAGAGCACCAAACUCCGGAAAGCGGAGAUAUCCGUGAGGGUAUAGGAUACAAAGAAGAAAAUAACCGUCCAGACGCUUGUCGUCGGGAUAAGGGUGAGAAGGUGGAGUAAGAGCCCACCAGGCCGAAUGGCGACAUUCGGUGCUGUUUGUCUUUUGGGUUGCAAGACCAUGUAUACCGGCAAUUAAGAACUGCUCGUUCGAUGCUGGGGGGUGGGUCGCUUAGAUAAAUGAUGGAAAGUGCAAUUCGUUGCAUCACAGAACCCGGCUUAUAGACCUACUGUAUUU